CUCAUUAUGUGGUAAUGGGCAGCUACUCUCAGUGUCUCUGCCUGAACAGACAGGCAGCAUUCAGCCUAUGAGGGUGGAGAAGCCAACUAACUGCAAGGAGGAAACUUGGAUCUGUGAUCAUGUGUCCGUAGAGGAAGCAUCUCAGAUCACACCCAGGCCCCGUUUGAGUGUCUGUGUUCGGAUGUCAGCUUUUCCUCUCCAGCUGAAUUUUCCAAGCUCUCUCUCAGAUCAUCUGUCCUCACUGAUGUGCACUGAAGAACAAGCCACCCUCGGACACUGCCGGGUCGUCUCACACUCCUGACGGCUUGCUUCCCAGCAUGAGGCUGCUGUUCCUUCUCUUUCUCCUCCUCAUAUGUCUCACCCAGACAGCAUCAGGGUACAGAAUAAAGGCGAAAUCCCUUCAAUGUGCACAGAUGGGCGGUGCCUGCAAACCACAGAAGACCCACGGCUGCUCCAUCCUGCCUGCGGAAUGCAAGAGUCGGUACAAACACUGCUGUCGGCUGUAGCUCCCGCCCGAGAGUCCUCAGGGUAGCACGAGAGAAUCGCUGUCUCUGACUUCUGCUUAAUAAAGGUGCCAUGCCCCACGUGGA